AUUCUUAGACGGUUUUCAGAGACUUUACUGACUACUGAGGUCUUAUUGACUUGAGGAUUUGCUACAAGAUGGCUUUACUGAGGCUGGUGCCAGUUCUUCAGUGUCUGUGUUUGUUGAUACCGGGAGCUGUCCUUUUAUGUGGAGGAGACACAAUUAUUGGUAAGAUAGAUUGCUGUAAUUCAGUGGUCUCUAGCUAAUGGCUGUCCAGCUGUAUUGAAUCAAUAAUCUCAUCAUUCCAGGGCAGGCUAGGCAAUAAUGUUUCAAAACAGAUAAGAAGCU